rnacentral:rRNA from 1 species
AUUGAACGCUGGCGGCAUGCCUUACACAUGCAAGUCGAACGGCAGCACGGGGCAACCUGGUGGCGAGUGGCGAACGGGUGAGUAAUGCAUCGGAACGUACCUUUCAGUGGGGGAUAACGUAGCGAAAGUUACGCUAAUACCGCAUAUUCUGUGAGCAGGAAAGCAGGGGAUCGCAAGACCUUGCGCUGAUUGAGCGGCCGAUGUCAGAUUAGCUAGUUGGUGAGGUAAAGGCUCACCAAGGCGACGAUCUGUAGCGGGUCUGAGAGGAUGAUUCGCCACACUGGAACUGAGACACGGGCCAGACUCCUACGGGAGGCAGCAGUGGGGAAUUUUGGACAAUGGGGGCAACCCUGAUCCAGCCAUGCCGCGUGAGUGAAGAAGGCCUUCGGGUUGUAAAGCUCUUUCGGCCGGGAAGAAAUCGCACGGGCUAAUACCCUGUGUGGAUGACGGUACCGGAAUAAGAAGCACCGGCUAACUACGUGCCAGCAGCCGCGGUAA